AGCGGCGGACGGGUGAGUAACGCGUGGGUAACCUGCCCUGUACACACGGAUAACAUACCGAAAGGUAUGCUAAUACGAGAUAAUAUGCUUUUAUCGCAUGGUGGAAGUAUCAAAGCUCUGGCGGUACAGGAUGGACCCGCGUCUGAUUAGCUAGUUGGUAAGGUAACGGCUUACCAAGGCGACGAUCAGUAGCCGACCUGAGAGGGUGAUCGGCCACAUUGGAACUGAGACACGGUCCAAACUCCUACGGGAGGCAGCAGUGGGGAAUAUUGCACAAUGGGCGAAAGCCUGAUGCAGCAACGCCGCGUGAGCGAUGAAGGCCUUCGGGUCGUAAAGCUCUGUCCUCAAGGAAGAUAAUGACGGUACUUGAGGAGGAAGCCCCGGCUAACUACGUGCCAGCAGCCGCGGUAAUACGUAGGGGGCUAGCGUUAUCCGGAAUUACUGGGCGUAAAGGGUGCGUAGGUGGUUUCUUAAGUCAGAGGUGAAAGGCUACGGCUCAACCGUAGUAAGCCUUUGAAACUGGGAAACUUGAGUGCAGGAGGGGAGGGUGGAAUUCCUAGUGAAGCGGUGAAAUGCGUAGAUAUUAGGAGGAACACCAGUUGCGAAGGCGGCUCUCUGGACUGUAACUGACACUGAGGCAUGAAAGCGUGGGGAGCAAACAGGAUUAGAUACCCUGGUAGUCCACGCCGUAAACGAUGAGUACUAGCUGU
rnacentral:rRNA from 1 species